AUGCAUCAAACUACUACCCUCUGCUGCUCUUCCAUGUGGGCGCUAACAACACGAAAGGCAAAUUGGAAACCAUCACACAGGACUCCAGAGCUCUGGGGAUGGUGGUGAAGGGUGUGGGAGCCCAGGUCGUUUUCUCCUCAAUCCUGCCUGUGAGGGGGAAGGACGGGAGGAGGAGUAGAUGAGCUUUCCAAGUUAACAACUGGCUGCGCCGCUGGUGUUGGCAACAGGGCUUUGGUUUCUAUGGCCAUGGGACCCGGUUUGAAGAUCAACAGCUGAUGAAGAGCGAUGGGAUCCACCUCACUAAGCGGGGCACACGUGUCUGUCUUUGCCAACAGGUUGGCCAGCCUGGUAAGGAGGGCUUUAAACUAGGCAAGAUGCGGGAAGGGGAGUGCUAUAGUGACACUGUACUCAUUAAAACACCGCUCAAGUCAGGAUGCAGAAGGAAGACUAGGGAAAAUGUGGGCCCACUGCUGAAUGGGGCGAGUGCCCUGGUAACAAAGGAUAUAGAGAGGGCAGAGUUACUGAAUGCUGCCUUUGCUUCAGUCUUCACUGCUAAGGCCAGCCCUCAGCAAUUCCAGACCCUGGGGACAAGAGAGGAAGGCUGGAGAAAGGAAGACUCUCCCUUGGUGGAGGAGGAUCGGGUUAGAGAUCUUUUGUCCAAACCUGACAUCCAUAAAUCCAUGGGCCCUGAUGGGCUGCACCCACGAGUGCUGAGGGAGCUGGCGGAUGUUAUCGCUAGGCCACUCUCCAUCCUCUUGGAAAGGUCCUGGAGAUCAGGAGAGGUGCCUGAGGCCUGGAAGAAAGCCAAUGUCACGCCAGUCUUCCAAAAGGGCAAGAAGGAGGAGCCAGGAAACUACAGGCCUGUCAGCCUCACCUCCAUCCCGGGAAAGCUGAUGGAACAGCUCCUCCUGGAGGUCCUCACUAAGCAUGUGGAGGACAAGAAAGUGAUCAGGAGUAGUCAGCAUGGAUUCACCAAAGGGGAAUCGUGCUUGACCAACCUGAGAGCCUUCUCAGAUGGACUGACUGGCUGUGUGGAUGAGGGUAGAGCAGUGGAUGUUGUCUGCCUGGACUUCAGCAAGGCUUUGGACACUGUCUCCCAUCACAUCCUCCUAGGUAANNNNNNNNNNNNNNNNNNNNNNNNNNNNNNNNNNNNNNNNNNNNNNN
rnacentral:lncRNA from 1 species